UACGAAGGGGGCUAGCGUUGUUCGGAAUUACUGGGCGUAAAGCGCGUGUAGGCGGGUCUUUAAGUCAGGGGUGAAAUGCCAGGGCUCAACCUUGGAACUGCCUUUGAUACUGGAGACCUUGAGUCCGGGAGAGGUGAGUGGAAUUGCGAGUGUAGAGGUGAAAUUCGUAGAUAUUCGCAAGAACACCAGUGGCGAAGGCGGCUCACUGGCCCGAUACUGACGCUGAGGCACGAAAGCGUGGGGAGCAAACAGG
rnacentral:rRNA from 1 species